rnacentral:rRNA from 1 species
AUGGACCACAAAGCUACUACCGCACAACGUGACCUAGAGCAUAUAUUAGUCGAGGAAACCGCUGAGCCCAAGGCCCUGCCAUUAUCACUUUUGGAGGACAUGACAGAUCAUUUCUCUGAUGACCUAGAGAUUGGACGCGGUGGAUUUGCGGUGGUCUAUAAGGGAAAACUUGGCGAUAAGGAGGUCGCCGUGAAGAGGCUGUCCGAAGCUUAUAUGCAUGAAAAAGAAUUUGACCGAGAGAUUCAAUGCCUGGUACGGGCAAAACACAAAAAUGUAGUAAGAUUCCUGGGAUAUUGUGAUGACAGACAAAGAAAUAUGGAAAGAUGCGACGAAAAAUUUCUCAUGGCGGAUAUCCACCAAAGAUUGUUUUGCUUCGAGUAUAUGCCUAAAGGGAGUCUUGAUAAGUAUAUCAAUACGCAUCAUGAGUGGGAAACGUGCUACAAAAUAAUCAAAGGGAUCUGUGAGGGUCUGCAGUACCUUCAUGACAAUAGUAUUAUUCACUUGGAUCUGAAACCCGCCAAUAUACUGCUCGACGAUGACAUGGUACCAAAAAUAACUGAUUUUGGCCUGUCAAGAUGCUUAGAUGAAAAUCAAAGCCAGGUGUUUACAAAAACUAUAUCAGGAACAAUGGGAUAUUUGGCGCCAGAACGUUACGGAGGGAGUGGAAUCAAACCAAGUGGUGACUUGUAUAGUCUUGGUAUUAUUAUCAUGGAAAUACUGACCGGACAGAAGCAGCCUCAAGAUACCAAGGAUGUACUUGAAACUUGGAGUGAUAGGUUGGAGAGAUCACAACAAGACACAGUCUACGAACAAAUACGUGUAUGCAACGAGAUAGCUUCAAAUUGCAUGCAGUUAAAUCCAAAGGACAGACCAGCUAGUGCAGGAGACAUAAUCGACAGGCUUCACGAAAUGGAAAGGAUCCAGGGCCAACGAAGCAUAUUUGGCGGUGCCAACAACGCGCAGCUACCGGCGUUCUCUUGCCACCUCCAUGUCGGACUACGCCGCGACUGCGUCGCAUCAUGCACAAAGCGCGUGCGGCCUUGUACAAUGCCAGCUACUCGGCGAUGA